AAUAGGAAAACCAGUUGUCCUAUUGUACUUGUAAUACCUGCUCCUAUAACAUAUAUAUUGUUUAGAGCCAGACAUAUGCCAACUCUUGUAAAAGAAAUCUGCCAUAAUAUCUACAGCAAUAGUCAAUAGACUCAAAUUAAAGGUCACUAGUAUAAUAAAGAAACUGGAUUGUCUCUCCCACAAGGUAAGCCUGAAAGAGUUGGACCGUUCAGCCUGGAGAAGAGAAUGCUUAAGUGGAAUCUUAAUAUAUGCAAAUACAUGAAGGGAGGAUGUAAAGAACACAGAGCCAAGCUCUUUUCAGUGGAACCAGUGAUAGGACAAGAAGCAAAGAGCACAAACUUAAACACAGGAGGUACUGCAUGAAGAUCAGGAAAGACUUAUUUUCACUAUGAGGGUGACUGAGCACUGGCAGAGGUUGUCCAGAGCGGCUGUGGAGUUGAGAAAUUUAAAAUCUACCUGGACACAAUCCGAGACAGCCAGCUCUAGGAAACCCUACUUGAGCAGGGGAUUGGACAAGAUGACCUCCAGAGCUCCCUGCCAACCUCAACAAUUAUGUGAUACCACAACAUCCCUUAUAAAUAAUAAACCAACAAAGUAUUUUCCCUUAAUUUAUUUCUCAUAUUCAUGAAGUAAUAUUCUGUGAUCUCUGUAUAAAAAUUCAUUCAUCAAACACAUGGGUUGGAGAUAUACAGAGCCUGUCUUCCCAUCUGACCAAUUUAGUAGAAUGAAGACCCGAAACUACUGCUCAUCCAGUGAAUGCAGCUGGCUCCAGUAGCAUUAUUAUUAUCACUUUUAAAAGGAUAAAAGAAGACAUUCACUGAAAUCUGCCUAAAAACCAAGCCCAGCUCAGUAUUAAAUUUCCCACUUAGUAUGUUGGGCUAAAGUAGAACUUUUGUUAUGCUGACAUGACACAGCCUAACACUAGUGCAAAUUGAUCAAAUUUUUGUGAUCCAAAGAUCACCAACCAGCAUGUCUCUUCAUAAGGAUUUCACUCCCAUUAUAUUCUGACAUACCUCCUCCCAUUGUGAAACGUCUUCUGUUUUGCACAGAUCAUGUGUUUCUUAAUUGGUUUUUCCUUUUGUCCAAGUAACAAACUCAUUGUUUAUCAAGCAUAACUCACCUCAAACCACUUACUUUGAAAGAAUAAAGAACAGCUUUAUUUGAGAAGUAAGAAUUUCUCUGUAGAUGUGGAAGACAAAAAUGUAAAAAGGAAAUCAUGCUACAAGCAUUUUUGAGCUUUACUACACCACAAUGCAGUGUCAAGAAAAAUGCAAAGCAACUUAUUUAAUUAGUAAAAUGAAGUAAACAUUUUUUCUUGGAAGGCACAGUCAUUGGAGCUUCAGCUGCAAUGAUUAUUAUUUUAUCUCAUCUGCACAAUUUACACAAAGUAUUUUAAGUGAAACUAUACUAAUUUAUGUAAGUAAUAAAAUCAUAGAAUGGCUUGAGUUGGAAAGGACCUUUAAAGGUCCUUUAUUCCAACCUCUCUAUAGUCUUAAACUAGAUGAAGUUGCCCAGAGCCCCAUCCAAUCUGGCCUUCAAUGUUUACAGGGAUGAGGCACCUACCACCUACCUGAGCAACCUGCUUUAGUGUUUCUUCAACACUUCUGUUAUAAAUUUCUUCCUUGUAUCUAGUCUAAGUCUACUCUCUCCUAGUUUAAAACCAUUAUCCCUUGUCUUACCACAACAAGCCCUACUAAUGUUUUUCCAAAUCUUUCUUUUAAACCCAUUUGAAGUACUGAAAUUUAACACAAAGGAAUUGAUUUGUGAAAAUGAUGGCCUGCAGAAGAGACUUUUACUGAGCACAUCUUCACAAAGCAUUUCUAAGCAUGCACAUGCUCAUGUCACAAUCUUCUACAGGGCUUAUCAGUUUCAUAAUCAGUUAACAUUUCCUUUCCAGGUAUAUAUCAAUCAGAUUAGAAAAUAUACUGAAAGAUAAGAUGAACCACUUACAGUGCUCUUCCCAAACUAAGCUACUAUUAUUUUGCUGGAAUUGCAGUUCAUGCAGAGAAAGAGAGUAAAGAAAUUCAGCUUAAAGAGAGGAAAGUAUAAUGUGAUAUUCAAUAUAGUAAGUUAAAUAGGUCAGUUAAGAAGAGAUUCCAGGUAACAUUUUUCUGCAAAAAUUGCACAUUUUAUACUCAAGAAAUGGAAGAUGGUGGAGGAGACACAUUGCAGGAGGAGCUACAUAUACUGGCUGCCAUUCUUGUGGCAGCUUAACAGGGAAACUGAAAACUUUGUUAUUUGCAGUCAGCUCAUGUAAAAAGUGUCUUAACAAGUUACUCUGCCUUCUGUUCAAUCAUGUCAACCUCUUUUCACAGACGGUUCACAGAGUUUCCUAACUCUUCUUUUUCUGUGUGUAGGUUUUCUUGUUCUAAGAUAACACCUUUGGAGAAAAAAUCAUGUUUUUACAUCAGCAAACAUCUGCUGUUUUUCUAACCAAAAUAGGAUAGCUCAUACCCUUUGAUAGAAAAAGCUAAAAUAACUUCUUCAGUUCUCCAAGUGAUUGCAAUGCAAAUAAUAACUCUACUAAAAAGCUAAAGGCCAGUAUCCAUUUUAAAUAACAUCUCUAUCUAAAGAAUAUUUUAACUAUGUCUUUCUUCCCUCUUUUUCUUCUGCCAACUUUUCUGGUGUUGAUUCAAUAGGUCUUUGUUUUGGACAUUUGUUUAAAAGAUUGAAUGUGCCAGUAAAUACCAAGAAAUUUCUAAUUUCAUGUGUAGACUUCAAGGGCAAAGUGAGAUUGCUAGCAUAUAUUCGUUUUUUAGUUUUAAAAACUCAAAUUUUAAUUACAUUUUCCUAUGUUAAGAUACAGGUGCAUAACAGAUGAUCACUUACACUGGAUGUUUUAAUUUUAUUAUUACAAAAGCUACAGAGUAGUAUAGCCCUUGGAAAAGCUGCAUAGUACAAAUUAAAUGCCAGAAGCUCCAGCAAAUGGUACACCUUGGGAUCCACAAGCACGUGAAGAACACCUGCAGCAUUCAUUUUCUAAGUGUUCUUUGUGUUCCAAAAGCCUUCAGAUAUUUGUAUACACCCAUAAUGUCUUUGUAAUGUGAAUGCUAAAAAUUAAAAUGUGGCAAUAUGAACACUAGUCAAGCUUUAUUCCAAAAUUAAUUAGGAAGCCAUUUAGUACAUCCAGCUCUGCGUAAUUAAAAUAGGAUAACUGUCCAAACAAAGAAUGAAAAAAAGAACCCUAAUAAUAAAGAAAAACUGAAUCUUCUCCAAUAUUGAUUUAAUUAUGAAAAUAAUUUAAUUAAGGAUAUUUCAGAAUAAGAAGCAGUUUCUUAUUAAUCCAAUUUUUAUAAAUAUACCAUAACAAUGUACUUCAGAUAAAAAAAAAAUCCUUUUCAGUCAUGACAACCAUAUUUACUGAUAGUUUGGAAUUGCAUUGCCUACUGUGUUUGAAACUUGAAUUUUUCUUUUUCCUUAUAAUCUGGAAGGUGCAACAAAUCAACAACUGUGAGAAAAGUGACCUAGGAGCUAAGAGAUAUGAGUGUAGGCACAGAGCUCGAGGAAAAAAUAUUUUCUGAAGAGAAGUUCAUAUAGUAGUAGUGUACCCUAUACAGCACAAUAUAUAUUUCAAAAGUUAGGUUGCUUAUUUUAAAAACACUAAAAUUUAUGAGGCAUUUCAAAUGAUGAAUCUAUCUGCACCUUGUUCAGAACAUUAUUUUACUAUUCAUUUCCAAGGUAAAUUUGUAUCAUGUUCAUUUUUAAAUAUUCUUUAAAAUACAUAUAUUUAUCAUGCCAAAUAUGAGAUAUUCAUAUAGAGAAUACCUUCUAUAAUCCUGAACUCCUCCAGACCCUCUAAUUUAUAAUGAUGCAUGCUUAAUAACAGCAUAAUUGAAGUCUUUGAAUAGUAUUUCUUGACUAAUCCAUUCAGUACCAAUAGCAGAACCAAAGAAUUCUAGACAUCCAAUUCUACAAUACACAAGGUUUGGUUAUUUUACUGAUAUGCCUUUCCAUUGAAGGAUUUCAUUACCUAUUUCUGAUAUGAUGAA
ensembl:lncRNA